UGAAAGACCGGUUCCUGUAAGAUCACCGAAGUUAAGCAACGUCGAAUCUGGUCACUAUCUAGAUGGGUGACCGCUUGGGAAUAGCAGGAGCUGUAA